GUGGGGAAUAUUGCACAAUGGGGGAAACCCUGAUGCAGCGACGCCGCGUGGAGGAUGACGGCCUUCGGGUUGUAAACUCCUUUUGUCAGGGACAAUGGUGAUGGUACCUGACGAAUAAGCCACGGCUAACUCUGUGCCAGCAGCCGCGGUAAGACAGAGGUGGCGAGCGUUGUUCGGAAUUACUGGGCUUAAAGGGCGCGUAGGCGGUGGUGUAAGUCUGGGGUGGAAUGCUACAGCUCAACUGUAGAGCUGCCUUGGAAAAUGCAUUACUUGAGUCGGUGAGGGGAGGGCGGAAUUCCUGGUGUAGCGGUGAAAUGCGUAGAUAUCAGGAGGAAGGUCUGUGGCGAAGGCGGCCUUCUGGCACUUGACUGACGCUGAGGCGCGAAAGCGUGGGGAGCAAACAGGAUUAGAAACCCUGGUAGUCC
rnacentral:rRNA from 1 species